rnacentral:rRNA from 1 species
UACGGGGGAGCAAGCGUUGUUCGGAUUUACUGGCGUAAAGGGCGCGUAGGCGGUCAGCACAAGUCAAUUGUGAAAUCUCCGGGCUUAACUCGGAAAGGUCAACUGAUACUGUGCGACUAGAGUGCGGAAGGGGCAACUGGAAUUCUCGGUGUAGCGGUGAAAUGCGUAGAUAUCGAGAGGAACACCUGCGGCGAAGGCGGGUUGCUGGGCCGACACUGACGCUGAUGCGCGAAAGCCAGGGGAGCGAACGGG